GAUGAACGCUGGCGGCGUGCCUAAUACAUGCAAGUCGAGCGAGCGGACGAGAAGCUUGCUUCUCUGAUGUUAGCGGCGGACGGGUGAGUAACACGUGGAUAACCUACCUAUAAGACUGGGAUAACUUCGGGAAACCGGAGCUAAUACCGGAUGAUCUUUUGAACCGCAUGGUUCAAAAGUGAAAGACGGUCUUGCUGUCACUUAUAGAUGGAUCCGCGCUGCUUUAGCUAGUUGGUAAGGUAACGGCUUACCAAGGGAACGAUGCAUAGCCGACCUGAGAGGGUGAUCGGCCACACUGGAACUGAGACACGGUCCAGACUCCUACGGGAGGCAGCAGUAGGGAAUCUUCCGCAAUGGGCGAAAGCCUGACGGAGCAACGCCGCGUGAGUGAUGAAGGUCUUCGGAUCGUAAAACUCUGUUAUUAGGGAAGAACAUAUGUGUAAGUAACUGUGCACAUCUUGACGGUACCUAAUCAGAAAGCCACGGCUAACUACGUG
rnacentral:rRNA from 1 species